UGGGGAAUAUUGCACAAUGGGGGAAACCCUGAUGCAGCGACGCCGCGUGAACGAAGAAGGUAUUCGUAUCGUAAAGUUCUGUCCUAUGGGAAGAUAAUGACAGUACCAUAGAAGAAAGCUCCGGCUUAAUACGUGCCAGCAGCCGCGGUAAUACGUAUGGAGCGAGCGUUGUCCGGAAUUAUUGGGCGUAAAGGGUACGCAGGCGGUUUAAUAAGUCGAAUGUUAAAGAUCGGGGCUCAACCCCGUAAAGCAUUGGAAACUGAUAAACUUGAGUAGUGGAGAGGAAAGUGGAAUUCCCAGUGUAGUGGUGAAAUACGUAGAUAUUAGGAGGAAUACCAGUAGCGAAGGCGACUUUCUGGACACAAACUGACGCUGAGGUACGAAAGCGUGGGGAGCAAACAGG
rnacentral:rRNA from 1 species